AACUCAAAUGAAUUGACGGGGGCCCGCACAAGCGGUGGAGCAUGUGGUUUAAUUCGAUGCAACGCGAAGAACCUUACCUGGUCUUGACAUCCACGGAAGUUUUCAGAGAUGAGAAUGUGCCUUCGGGAACCGUGAGACAGGUGCUGCAUGGCUGUCGUCAGCUCGUGUUGUGAAAUGUUGGGUUAAGUCCCGCAACGAGCGCAACCCUUAUCCUUUGUUGCCAGCGGUCCGGCCGGGAACUCAAAGGAGACUGCCAGUGAUAAAGUGGAGGAAGGUGGGGAUGACGUCAAGUCAUCAUGGCCCUUACGACCAGGGCUACACACGUGCUACAAUGGCGCAUACAAAGAGAAGCGACCUCGCGAGAGCAAGCGGACCUCAUAAAGUGCGUCGUAGUCCGGAUUGGAGUCUGCAACUCGACUCCAUGAAGUCGGAAUCGCUAGUAAUCGUGGAUCAGAAUGCCACGGUGAAUACGUUCCCGGGCCUUGUACACACCGCCCGUC
rnacentral:rRNA from 1 species